rnacentral:misc_RNA from 1 species
AUAAAUAUAUUUAUUUUUUUUUUCUGAUUUCUUGGCAAAGGAAAGUUGUAAGCUCAUGUAAUUAGUUCUUGCUGCAAACUCUCUCUCUCUCUCUCUCUCUCNNNNNNNNNNNACGUGGUUCUACUUUUUGAACAUGAAGAGCUCUAUUUAACAUGCCAACACAGCCUGUUAAACUUGGUCCUAGUAUUUUUGAUAUUAGCAUUUGGCUUUAACCACGAAUCCAGGUAUGUAAUUUCUUUCGAUUCCUAA